UACGUAGGGGGCAAGCGUUGUCCGGAAUUAUUGGGCGUAAAGCGCGCGCAGGCGGUCAUUUAAGUCUGGUGUUUAAGCCCGGGGCUCAACCCCGGUUCGCAUCGGAAACUGGAUGACUUGAGUGUAGGAGAGGAAAGUGGAAUUCCACGUGUAGCGGUGAAAUGCGUAGAGAUGUGGAGGAACACCAGUGGCGAAGGCGGCGACCUGGGUCGAGACUGACGCUGAGGCGCGAAAGCGUGGGGAGCAAACAGG
rnacentral:rRNA from 1 species